GAGAAAAAAGAGAGAAAGAGAUUGGCCAGCGAAGAGAGAAAGGGAUUGCCCCCCAGUCAAGAUCCCCCGAUUCCUCUCCCUCUCCCUUGUUGCCGCCGCCGCCACCGGUGACCUCCCCUCAGCCACGCCCUCCCCAACGGCGACCUCCCCUCCCCCUCGCACCAGAUCGAGCAGCAGGUCGGGCAGGGCAGAGUGGAGCGGGGAUGGGAGGAGAUGGCGGCAACGUCGUCCUCCUCGCCCAUCGGCGGGCGACACCUGUCAGAGUAGACCUAGGUCGCCGUUGUGGCUGCUGUCUCAGGCGAGAAGAGGAGUGGUCAUAUUAGGACGCGAGGAGGGGGAGCAGCCAACCAUGCUCAAGGCCGUCCGCGGUGGCCGCAAAUCGAGGCGGCGACUACAAUUCGAAGCUGCAGAAGACGGAGGCGAAGAUGUCGAGCAUGUGGCCCUGCGCACAAGAGAAUACACUUACUGCCAGAAAAGUUGUGCUCUGAAGGGGUGCGAGGACUGCUAGGGAUGUACAGGGUAUGACACAUUGACAGGGUGCUUCCAAUUGAAUUCACGGAUAAAUAAAACCUAUAUGGCGGAUCGGACAUUCUGUUUCCACUUCUCUACAUCAUGCUGCCCACCGGGCAUGGAUAUUCACCUCCACCAAUUUGAUUGAUCCUAUGUGCUACUGCAGUUUAUCAACUAAGUUUAUACACUGUCCCUUAAGGCCUAAGCCCAAACCGCAUGUUAAUUCCCAACUCUGGUUUGCUUCACAACUUCAUCUCAUCCGAUGUUAUAUUACUGGUCUACUGCAAUUCUUUUCUGAUACUCUUGUAGGCAUUGUUGAGGAAAUCGUUAACUGGUAACUGCUCAGUUGGCUGGCAAGUAGGGAAUUAAUAGGCUAAUCGGCAAGUUAAUCGGCCAUUUAAUCAAUUAAUCGGACGAUUUAUCAGUUUAUCGGCUACUCGGUGACCCUACGAGCAGGGAUUAAUCGGCAAGUUAACUGGUUAAUCGGAUGAAUUCUUGAACAGGGCUUGUAGGUCAUACUUGGACUAAUUGAUUUGUUUUACUGACUAAACUCACUUAUUCCUUCCACUUUCAAGGCUUGGACAAACCACUUAGUUCAUCUAGCAAUUGAUGUUAGAUCAUACUGGAUGGAAUAUACACACAUUCAUAGAAUUUUAAGUUGUUAAAGCUCCUUUGGAAUUUUCAGGUACCAGCGGCGGCGGCUACAAUGGCCACGACGAACGGCCGCAGAACAAUGGCUACAAUAUCAUCUCGGCAUUCACAAAGGCUGCCUUGGGUUGGUGGGCAUGGACAUGAGCAACCAUUGCAGCAUGUGCGGCUGUCCUGAUGAUGAUAAUAGUAUUCUGAUUCUGAGCAACAUCCAAGUGAUGCUUACAUGGAAGAGUAUGUUUGGAUAGAUGGAGAGAGGGAUUGCAGCACCCGAGCUCCACUGCUCCCUAUAUUUAAACAUUUUGAAAUUUGUGUUUUUGAAGUUUCAAACAAAUGUGAAUUUUUUCCUGGGAAUACAUAUACACACUUUGAAUACAUGUGGCAAGUUUCGGUAGAAACCUCUCGUUUUGUUUUGGGUUAUAGGAAAAAACAAAAUUCUGACAGUAUAUAGCAGAAAAUGGAUGUUAUUUAUGUCAGAAAUUUCCUUUUGUAUUUCUCAAAAUACAAAGUGUUUCUUUUUCAGCUUUU